AGCGAACGCUGGCGGCAGGCUUAACACAUGCAAGUCGAACGGGCACCUUCGGGUGUCAGUGGCAGACGGGUGAGUAACACGUGGGAACGUACCCUUUGGUUCGGAACAACUCUGGGAAACUGGAGCUAAUACCGGAUACGCCCUUAUGGGGAAAGGUUUACUGCCGAAGGAUCGGCCCGCGUCUGAUUAGCUAGUUGGUGGGGUAACGGCCUACCAAGGCGACGAUCAGUAGCUGGUCUGAGAGGAUGAUCAGCCACACUGGGACUGAGACACGGCCCAGACUCCUACGGGAGGCAGCAGUGGGGAAUAUUGGACAAUGGGCGCAAGCCUGAUCCAGCCAUGCCGCGUGAGUGAUGAAGGCCUUAGGGUUGUAAAGCUCUUUUGUCCGGGACGAUAAUGACGGUACCGGAAGAAUAA
rnacentral:rRNA from 1 species